GGCGAUAUUAUUUUGGGUGAUGAUGGAUAUAAUUAUAAUGAGAGUAAAUUAGUUGUAUUUAGUAUUGGUAGUAUCUUAAAAUAUGCAAAUCUCGCAAUGAGAAUAGUACUGAGAAUAGUACAUAUAAUUUCCAUGGUAGAAGGACAUGAAUUCAUUGAGCGUAUAAUAUUUAGAAAACCAAAACUAAAUAGAAGCGUCUUGAAAUGGGCUUGCUUGCAUGGAUUUAAAAACUAAUGAAGA
rnacentral:misc_RNA from 1 species